GGUGUGGUGGCCUAGUGGUUAGAGUUUCCGCCUCGAACACGGGAGGUCGCUAGUUCGAAUCCCGGCCAAGUCAUACCA